GACGAACGCUGGCGGCGUGCUUAACACAUGCAAGUCGAGCGGUAAGGCCCUUUCGGGGGGUACACGAGCGGCGAACGGGUGAGUAACACGUGGGUGACCUGCCCUUAGCUCUGGGAUAAGCCUGGGAAACUGGGUCUAAUACCGGNUAAUGACUCCAUAACGCAUGUUGUGGGGUGGAAAGCCUUGUGCGGCUAGGGAUGGGCCCGCGGCCUAUCAGCUUGUUGGUGGGGUGAUGGCCACCAAGGCGACGACGGGUAGCCGGCCUGAGAGGGCGACCGGCCACACUGGGACUGAGACACGGCCCAGACUCCUACGGGAGGCAGCAGUGGGGAAUCUUGCGCAAUGGGCG
rnacentral:rRNA from 1 species